GAUGAACGCUGGCGGCGUGCCUAAUACAUGCAAGUCGAGCGAACAGACGAGGAGCUUGCUCCUCUGACGUUAGCGGCGGACGGGUGAGUAACACGUGGAUAACCUACCUAUAAGACUGGGAUAACUUCGGGAAACCGGAGCUAAUACCGGAUAAUAUAUUGAACCGCAUGGUUCAAUAGUGAAAGACGGUUUUGCUGUCACUUAUAGAUGGAUCCGCGCCGCAUUAGCUAGUUGGUAAGGUAACGGCUUACCAAGGCGACGAUGCGUAGCCGACCUGAGAGGGGGAUCGGCCACACUGGAACUGAGACACGGUACAGACUCCUACGGGAGGCAGCAGUAGGGAAUCUUCCGCAAUGGGCGAAAGCCUGACGGAGCAACGCCGCGUGAGUGAUGAAGGUCUUCGGAUCGUAAAACUCUGUUAUUAGGGAAGAACAAAUGUGUAAGUAACUAUGCACGUCUUGACGGUACCUAAUCAGAAAGCCACGGCUAACUACGUG
rnacentral:rRNA from 1 species